UUUUUUGUUAAAAAUACCAAUUAAAUUCACCUUCCCAUCUGAAAAUAUGCUGAAGUAGAAAAUCAAAAUAAUAUUUCUACUACAAAAAAUAUUCACUAACAGUUGAAUAAAAACAAAAUCACACAUCAUAAUGUAUGGUUUAACUAAUUAUACACAUCCCCAACUCUCACAUAAAAAAUUGUUUUUUGGGGAAAAAUAGAAAAAAGCAUUUCAAGUCCUAUUUUAUUAGAAGCAUCUUUACCAUACAUCGAUCAUUUGAUUGUUCUUGUUUGAAUUAGUUUACAAACAGAUUUGAACCUUAUGUGACUGAUGAUAAAUUUUGUGCUGAUUCUUCAUUGGGUAAUAAAAUACUUAAUCAUUAAUAAUAUGAAAUCAUUUAUUUAUUUUUAAUAAACUUAUCUUAAAAUUACUUAACACUUAAUAUUAAGGCAGGCAUUUUUAAAUUUGAAGAUUAACUUAAUUUUUGUUAAGUAUAAUGGAUCACAUUUUACUACCCAUAUAAAAAUACAAUAUAUUAUAUACUGUGUAUAAUAUGUGUAUAAUAUGUAUAUUAUGGAUAUAGGGUUUUUUAAGUUAGAUAUACUAAAAAAUGAAUUUUUUUAAAACCUGUUUUGGCUUAAAAAUUAACGUUUUACAUUUAAUUCAAUCUUUGGUUUCCCCUGGAGCUACUUAAAAUAUUAAAUUUGACCUUUCGAUAGCACCAACUAGAUUCACUCUUCCACUAGGAAAGAUGCUGAAGUUGAAAACCAAAGAAAUAUUUGACUUCAAGUAGGUUGUUACUUGUUGAUUAUAGGUUGAUUAUAAUGUCAAUUUUACAACAAACUCCUAAUUUCAAAUUGAGUUAAGUAUAAAUACAUGGGCAAAAAAAUUCCUUUUUAAUAUUAACAUUAUUAAUAAAAUUCAUAUAGUAUUAAUGAGUACCAUGUAGCUUGGUCAUUAAAUAAAACUUCAGCACCACUACGACCUGAAACAUGUGUUGCGCAUUGUCGCCCCCGACCUCAUGUUCAAAAAGUUCAACAACUCCCGAAUGAUGGAGAACGAGCGCCAACCACUACCAAGCCGGCAAAAGUAGCAACUAAGGAGACGGACCUAGUUGUCAUCCGUCCACGACCGAAUUCAUACCACUGGAUUUUUCAGCCCGAAUUUAUGUUAAUGAGAUGGGAGACAUUGGGUAGGAUCAUGCUCGAUCUGUGGCCAUAGGCUAGGGUGACCAGUUUUGCAACAAAAAAAAAGCAUGCAUAUUUUUUUUU